rnacentral:rRNA from 1 species
CGCGAAUGGCUCAUUACAACAGCUAAAAUUUACUCGAUCUUGACACAAUCCUACUUGGAUAACUGUGGUAAUUCUAGAGCUAAUACAUGCAUUAAAGCUCUGACCUUCGGGGAAGAGUGCAUUUAUUAGAACAAAACCAAGCGGCUUCGGCUGUUUUCGGUUGACUCAUAGUAACUGAGCUGAUCGCAUGGUCUUGCACCGGCGACGUGUCGUUCAAGUAUCUGCCGUAUCAACUUUCGAUGGUGUGUAUCUGACUACCAUGGUGAUCACGCGUAACGGAGAAUAAGGGUUCGACUCCGGAGAGUUCGCCUGAGAAAUCGCGAACACAUCUAAGGAAGGCAGCAGGCGCGAAAAUUACCCACUCUCAGCACGAGGAGGUAGUGACGAAAAAUAACGAGACCGUUCUCUUAUGAGGCCGGUCAUCGGAAUGGGUACAAUUUAAACCCUUUAACGAGUAUCUAUGAGAGGGCAAGUCUGGUGCCAGCAGCCGCGGUAAUUCCAGCU